GAGAAUCGGAUUGAUGUGUUUUAAUAGGCGUUGGAAAGUUAAGAGGAUAAGCUAAAAGUUUUUUUUUCUGUUUUGGUUGUUUCAAAAAAUUCCCAAAAUUCUUAAUUAACUUUAUUAGAUUAAUUUCGUGUUUUUUUUAUUUUUUUUCUUUUAUUUUAAUCGUUUUUUCCAUAUUUCAAUUGUUUUUGCUUAAUAGGAACAUUGUCGAUAUUUUCCUAUUUGUUACUGCAUUGCUGAAUUAGUUAUGUGUUUUCUCAUUUUUUG
rnacentral:lncRNA from 1 species